CAGGGGAUUGCAGUGGCAAAGCUAGGCUAGGUCUUGGAGGCUGGUGUAAGGCGAUGCGGGUGAAGGCAGGAGGCUGAUGGAGAGACUGGGGGGAAGAAAAGCCGAAAUGGAUUCACGGUGCCUUGGAUGAAGGACGAGAGGGGAACUGCAAGCUCCUUCAACUGGUUCUGUCCGGUGAGAAGUGAUCAAGCUUGGGCUGACAAGAGGCUCAGGGAGCCCUCACGUUCUUUCGCUUUUUUACCUGCCAAUCAAACUGCUACAAGACAACACCCUGAUCUGGCAUGGACAUCGCGGGUCCAAGCCUGUAGCCCCAAAUCGGAUAAUCUCUGCAGCUGAUAACAAGCAAAAGAGAAGCCAGGCAACAGCCAUAUUAAAGAAGAAAACAGUCAACUCUGAGGCGGAGUCUCGCUCUGUUGCCUAGGCUGGAGUGCAGUGGCACAAUCUUGGCUCACCACAACCUCCACCUCCCAAGUUCAAGGGAUUCUCUUGCCUCAGGCUCCUGAGUAGCUGAGAUUACAAGCUCCCACCACCAUGCUCAGCUAAUUUAUCCAACUUAGAAAUAAUGUUUCAUUCAAGAUAAGGCUCGUGGUUUAGGAGAUUGUGACCUGGCUUGCAUCAUUCUAAGACUUCUAUCGUCUGUUUUCAAAACCCAAGGAGGACCUCAUUUUCUGUGUGAUAGUUCCUCAUGCUUUGCCAGCCACUGGGUCUUUAAGGAAGCUUGCCAAGAGUUCCCGGCUGGGAAGGACAGUUCGAGUUCAUCAUAGACAAUGAGCUGGCACCACAGUUUAAGUGACUCACCAA
rnacentral:sRNA from 1 species